AUGAAUGAAUCGUGAAUGAUUACCUGAUAACAAACCAGGUCUAUAAAUAACAGGGCACCAAGUUGUUUAAGCUAUCAUGUCAUGGUGAUUGGAACCAAUCAUUUGGCAAAGUCAUGCAUACUUAGGAUUGCUCCCCUCUGAGCUCUGAGUGAUGGACUUUUGGUUGUGAUUUUUUUAAUCACUAUCAACCUGAGGUUUGACAGUCUUCAAAUCUUCGCCAAAAACAGUUCCAGGUGGAAUCCAAGAACUCAAGACUGUACUUCCUCCUCAUAUAGCUGCUGUCACUGGAACGAUACUGAUUACCCCGAGCACGAGGAUUCAAAUAGGAUCUGAAGCUCCCAAGAACAGUCCAUGAUGCCAGCCACACGGCCCCAACUUGCUCCGUUCGAUGCAGCAGCAUUCGGUUAUUUUUGGCUAAUAAGAUUCGUCCUGUCAUUCUGUGAACUGGAGUACAUAUAAAGUGCAAAAA